CACGCCGUAAACGAUGGAUACUCGGUGUUGGCCCGCAAGGGUCGGUGCCUAAGCUAACGCAGUAAGUAUCCCACCUGGGAAGUACGAUCGCAAGGUUGAAACUCAAAGGAAUUGACGGGGGCCCGCACAAGCAGUGGAGCAUGUGGUUUAAUUCGAUGCAACGCGAAGAACCUUACCUGGGCUCGAAAGACUGGAUUAUCCGCCGGUGAAAGUCGGCGGAGUCGCAAGACAAUCCAGACAGGUGCUGCAUGGCUGUCGUCAGCUCGUGCCGUGAGGUGUUGGGUUAGGUCCCGCAACGAGCGCAACCCCUUUCCUUAGUUGCCAUCAGGUCAUGCUGGGAACUCUAAGGAGACUGCCUACGCAAGUAGU
rnacentral:rRNA from 1 species